rnacentral:pre_miRNA from 1 species
AAAAAGACAAACCCUAGGUUUUUUUUUCAACUUUAACUGUUCGUCUUAUAUAAAAUUUUUUUAUAAUUUCUAUUUUUAUUAUUGUUAAAUGAUAAAACAUGAUUAAUAUUUUAUACGUGACUUGUCUUUUUAAUUUUUUCAUAAUUUUUUUAAAUAAGACGGACGGUUAAAUGUUGGACAUGGAAAGCAGGGUUUGUCUUUUU